GACUCUCGACAACGGAUAUCUCGGCUCUCGCAUCGAUGAAGAACGUAGUGAAAUGCGAUACUUGGUGUGAAUUGCAAAUCCCGUGAACCAUCGAGUCUUUGAACGCAAGUUGCGCCCGAAGCCGUCAGGCCGAGGGCACGUCUGCCUGGGCGUCUC
rnacentral:rRNA from 1 species